AAACUUGCCAACCUGAAGAGAAGGACACAGGGCUGGCUGGCUUUGCCACCUGCUGAUUGUAGAGGCUGGGGACUUUCAGCAAACACAGAGCUUUGAUGCAUCUCCCCUGAAUUUAGAAAAUAGGAUGCAUGUUCCCUCCGGGAUAGGGUCUAUGUAUAGCAUGGCAACUUAUACAGUUGUAUUUAGUACGGAUGGAGAUGGAAUUCUAACCAAGAGAACAUGAAGACGUGAACUAUAUUGAAGUCCCUAUGCAAAUCUUCAUAAUGCCCAGGGGACUCUAUCUCAACUUCAAGAUGCAAACCUUUACAAGCAUGCAGCUGUUCCAGACAUCAAUAAUGC